AGUGAACGCUGGCGGCAGGCCUAACACAUGCAAGUCGAGCGGCAGCGCGUCCGACCACCCUCGGGUGGUCGGAUGGCGGCGAGCGGCGGACGGGUGAAGAAUGCAUCGGAAUCUGCCUCGUUGUGGGGGAUAACGUAGGGAAACUUACGCUAAUACCGCAUACGACCUACGGGUGAAAGUGGGGGACCUUCGGGCCUCACGCGAUGAGAUGAGCCGAUGCCGGAUUAGCUAGUUGGCGGGGUAAAGGCCCACCAAGGCGACGAUCCGUAGCUGGUCUGAGAGGAUGAUCAGCCACACUGGAACUGAGACACGGUCCAGACUCCUACGGGAGGCAGCAGUGGGGAAUAUUGGACAAUGGGGGCAACCCUGAUCCAGCCAUGCCGCGUGUGUGAAG
rnacentral:rRNA from 1 species